rnacentral:rRNA from 1 species
UACGUAGGGUGCAAGCGUUGUCCGGAAUUAUUGGGCGUAAAGAGCUCGUAGGCGGUCUGUCGCGUCUGCUGUGAAAACUCGGGGCUUAACCCCGGGCCUGCAGUGGGUACGGGCAGACUAGAGUGCGGUAGGGGAGACUGGAAUUCCAGGUGUAGCGGUGAAAUGCGUAGAUAUCUGGAGGAACACCGGUGGCGAAGGCGACAUCCUGGACCGGUAUUGACGCUGAGGCGCGAAAGCCAGGGGAGCAAACGGG